rnacentral:rRNA from 3 species
GGUGGAUUUUUAGCCCUGGUGGGUAGCUUCCCGGAAACGAAAGUCUUCCGGUUCCGGGGGAAGUAUGGUUGCAAAGCUGAAACUUAAAGGAAUUGACGGAAGGGCACCACCAGGAGUGGAGCCUGCGGCUUAAUUUGACUCAACACGGGGAAACUCACCCGGCCCGGACACCGUAAGGAUUGACAGAUUGAUAGCUCUUUCAUGAUUCGGUGGUUGGUGGUGCAUGGCCGUUCUUAGUUCGUGGAUCGAUUUGUCUGGUUUAUUCCGAUAACGAGCGAGACUCUAGCCUACUAAAUAGUAACGAGAUUAUCAAUGUCUCAGUUGCUUCUUAGAGGGAUUUUCGGUGUUUAGCCGCACGAGAUUGAGCAAUAACAGGUCUGUGAUGCCCUUAGAUGUCCGGGGCUGCACGCGCGCUACACUGGCGAAAUCAGCGUGCUGUAUCCAUUCUCGAAAGGGAUUGGUAAACCCAUGAAAAUUUGCCGUGCUUGGGAUCGGAAAUUGCAAUUAUUUUCCGUGAACGAGGAAUUCCAAGUAAGUGCGAGUCAUCAACUCGCUCUGAUUACGUC